AGUGAACGCUGGCGGUAGGCCUAACACAUGCAAGUCGAACGGCAGCACAGUAGAGCUUGCUCUCUAGGUGGCGAGUGGCGGACGGGUGAGGAAUACAUCGGAAUCUACUCUGUCGUGGGGGAUAACGUAGGGAAACUUACGCUAAUACCGCAUACGACCUACGGGUGAAAGCAGGGGACCUUCGGGCCUGGCGCGAUGGAACGAGCCGAUUUCGGAUUAGCUAGUUGGCGGGGUAAAGGCCGAACAAGGCGACGAUCCGUAGCUGGUCUGAGACGAUCAUCAGCCACACUGGAACUGAGACACGGUCCAGACUCCUAGGGGGAGCAGCAGUGGGAAAUAUUGCACAAUGGGCGCAAGCCUGAUCCAGCCAUACCGCGUGGGUGAAGAAGGCCUUCGGGUUGUAAAGCCCUUUUGUUGGGAAAGAAAUCCAGCUGGCUAAUAACCGGUUGGGAUGACGGUACCCAAAGAAUAAGCACCGGCUAACUUCGUGCCAGCAGCCGCCGUAA
rnacentral:rRNA from 1 species